CAGAAGUAAGCUUGUGGGCUCCGUGUUUGCGCCAUUCCUUCUGUCCUGGUCAACCCUUUCCUUCAGUCCUUGUCCUGAUGGUUUCAAUGCCGCAUUACAGGUGUGGCUGAGGGGUCUUUUUGUAUUCUUCUGUUGUAAAAGAGUUACUCAUCGCUUAAUUGAAGGCACGCUUGAAGCUGAUUAAAUUAAACAACGCUUAAAAAAAGCUGUAGGUGAACAGUGUUCACGCUAAGCCAAGGAGACUCCGUUCAGAGUACUGCAUCCAGGCCUGGGGCCCUGAGCACAGAAUGGAUGAGGAGCUGUUGGAUCCAGAGGAGGGCCACCAAGUGAGUUGCUGGGGUUGCCCAAGGAGAUGGAAGGGGGCAGAACCAGGACAGCCAAGUCAAAUCAACCAUACCAAACAUCGCCAUGCUGAGCAGUGACACUGGGGGAGCUGGCUAGGUGGGCUGCUGCCUGGGGACUGGAUGGACAUCAGCCAGCAAGAAACUGUAUUACUUGGUUUUUACUCUUUUUUCUUUUUUUUUUCCUUUGUUUCUUUCUUAUUUUACUAUCCUUAUGUUAACUCACGAGUUCUCAUGCUCUGUCAGUUCUCUUUCUCAUCCUGCUGGUGGUGCAGUGAAUGAACAGCUCUGUGGGGCUGUGUUGCCUGUCAGGUUAGACCAUAACUAGUAGAAAACAAAUGAUUAUGGAAAAAAGGGGGAAAAAAAAUAGUAAAAUUGAUGAACUAGGCAGCUGGGUCACACUGUCAAUAAAUUGGCUUCCU